GCCCAGCUAGCUCAGUUGGUAGAGCAUGGGACACUUGCACUCAGGAUCAUGGGUUUAAGCCCCAUGCUGGGCA